rnacentral:lncRNA from 1 species
AAGAAAAAAAUCAAGAAUAUGGUUAGGUACUUAUCCAACGGCUCAAAUGGCGGCUCGAGCUCAUGAUGUCGCGGCUUUAACCAUCAAAGGUAACUCGGCUUAUCUUAACUUUCCUUAUUUGGCUCAUCUACUCCCGCGUCCAACUUCCGCUUCUUCUAAGGACAUCCAGGCCGCGGCUGCAAAAGCGGCAUUUGGCUCAUCAACUCCCGCGUCCGGCUUCCACUUCUCCCAAGGACAUUCAAACAGCGGCAGCAAAAGCCGCCGCCAUCACAUUUCCUGAUGAAAAUGAAGAAAUUCGAGCCGAGCCGUGCCGAGUU